UACAGAGGGGGCAAGCGUUGUUCGGAAUUACUGGGCGUAAAGGGCGCGUAGGCGGCCUGCUAAGUCGGACGUGAAAUCCCUGGGCUCAACCCAGGAACUGCGUCCGAUACUGGUUGGCUUGAAUCCGGGAGAGGGAUGUGGAAUUCCAGGUGUAGCGGUGAAAUGCGUAGAUAUCAUUUGGAACGCCAAUGGUGAAAACAGGUUGCUGGGAGUGUGCUGACGCUGAGACACGAAAGCCAGGGGAGCGAACGGG
rnacentral:rRNA from 1 species